UGUGCUGUUGCUUUUCCACUGCAAUUGGUAUCACCUCAUCACGAAUGAGAUGGGUGUGGUCAGUGGAGUUGAAACUGUCGAGACGUUGUUUUAGUAAAGUUAACAGUAACGACAAUGGAUGACAUCGAGGUGAUGCUGUACUUGUCGCUCAGUCUGUGGCUUUUUGUCACAGAAAAGGUGAAAUGAGAGAGAGCCAGAAAUACAAGCAGCCAACAAACACACUUCAAAACCAA